rnacentral:rRNA from 1 species
UAGGGAAUCUUCCACAAUGGACGCAAGUCUGAUGGAGCAACGCCGCGUGAGUGAAGAAGGUUUUCGGAUCGUAAAGCUCUGUUGUUGGUGAAGAAGGAUAGAGGCAGUAACUGGUCUUUAUUUGACGGUAAUCAACCAGAAAGUCACGGCUAACUACGUGCCAGCAGCCGCGGUAAUACGUAGGUGGCAAGCGAUGUCCGGAUUUAUUGGGCGUAAAGCGAGCGCAGGCGGAAUGAUAAGUCUGAUGUGAAAGCCCACGGCUCAACCGUGGAACUGCAUCGGAAACUGUCAUUCUUGAGUGCAGAAGAGGAGAGUGGAAUUCCAUGUGUAGCGGUGGAAUGCGUAGAUAUAUGGAAGAACACCAGUGGCGAAGGCGGCUCUCUGGUCUGCAACUGACGCUGAGGCUCGAAAGCAUGGGUAGCGAACAGG